CCUACGGGAGGCUGCAGUGGGGAAUAUUGGACAAUGGGGGGAACCCUGAUCCAGCCAUGCCGCGUGUGUGAAGAAGGCCCUCGGGUUGUAAAGCACUUUCAGUGAGGAAGAACGCCUGGUGGUUAAUACCCAUCAGGAAAGACAUCACUCACAGAAGAAGCACCGGCUAACUCCGUGCCAGCAGCCGCGGUAAUACGGAGGGUGCGAGCGUUAAUCGGAAUUACUGGGCGUAAAGCGCGCGUAGGUGGCUUGAUAAGCCGGUUGUGAAAGCCCCGGGCUCAACCUGGGAACGGCAUCCGGAACUGUCAAGCUAGAGUGCAGGAGAGGAAGGUAGAAUUCCCGGUGUAGCGGUGAAAUGCGUAGAGAUCGGGAGGAAUACCAGUGGCGAAGGCGGCCUUCUGGACUGACACUGACACUGAGGUGCGAAAGCGUGGGUAGCAAACAGGAUUAGAUACCCCUGUAGU
rnacentral:rRNA from 1 species